rnacentral:tRNA from 1 species
AAGAAAUUAGUUAAAAAUAAUAACAUUAAUAUGUCAUAUUAAAAUUAUUAACUAAUUAAUAUUUCUUU